rnacentral:rRNA from 1 species
AUUGAACGCUGGCGGCAGGCCUAACACAUGCAAGUCGAGCGGUAGAGAGGUGCUUGCAUCUCUUGAGAGCGGCGGACGGGUGAGUAAUGCCUAGGAAUCUGCCCUAGUGGUGGGGGAUAACGUUCGGAAACGGACGCUAAUACCGCAUACGUCCUACGGGGGAAANCGGGGGGAUCUUCGGACCUCGCGCCAUUAGAUGAGCCUAGGUCGGAUUAGCUAGUUGGUGAGAUAAUGGCUCGACCAAGGCGACGAUCUGUAGCUGGUCUGAGAGGACGACCAGCCACACUGGGACUGAGACACGGCCCAGACUCCGUACGGGAGGCAGCAGUGGGGAAUUUUGGACAAUGGACGCAAGUCUGAU